rfam:Trachymyrmex zeteki contig15793, whole genome shotgun sequence.
AGUUCCAUGGUGUAAUGGUCAGCACUCUGGACUGUGAAUCCAGCGAUCCGAGUUCAAAUCUCGGCGGAACCU